rnacentral:rRNA from 1 species
GACGAACCGUGCAAACGUUGUUCGGAAUCACUGGGCUUAAAGGGCGCGUAGGCGGGCGAUCAAGUCAGGGGUGAAAUCUUUCGGCUUAACCGGAAAAGUGCCCCUGAUACUGAUUGUCUCGAGGGAGGUAGGGGUAUGUGGAACUUCUGGUGGAGCGGUGAAAUGCGUUGAUAUCAGAAGGAACGCCGGUGGCGAAAGCGACGUACUGGACCUCUUCUGACGCUGAGGCGCGAAAGCUAGGGGAGCGAACGGGAUUAGAAACCCUAGUAU